UUCGCUGAGCAAGUAGAUCCAGGGAGCGUGCAGCCGGGUGAACAUUCUCCCCCCUCAAGUCUGCACGCAGUGGUUGCGCCUCUCUCCGAGCCUGCGCAGUCGGCACCUCGUAGCCUUGGCGGUCUGGACCCCUCGUCGGCGUCCCACGCUGCUCCCCUCCCCCACUGCCGCGAAGCUCCCGCCCGAGCCGACCACGUGCCGCGAGCCCGGCGGGGAGAGCCCACUCCCGCGCCCCUUCGGGGCCUACGACCGCGCCGGGUUGCGGCCCAUCGCCCCAGUGCCUGAUGGAGAAGGAUUAAGGAACUUGUUCUUACUGCUAACUGAUAUGUCUGGAGGUUUGAACUCAUUCUGCAAACUCCGUGCACCCUUGCUGUUCCACUCAGCCGCGAUGCUGCUGCCUAGACACUGGAAGAUUGGAGCAGAAAGACUUUCGAAACUCUUGGAAGUUAUGAAUACCUGUGUUCCUGUGUUCAGUAAAUACACAUUUAUCAAGCACCUACCUUAAACCAGCCACCUUGCAGAUUGGCAUCCUCUGCUUCUUGAAUCCCCAUGCAGAAAACAUAGCUACCAACAGCUUCUGAAUCCACCUGCAGAGAGACUGACUGCUCUGUUAUUUUCCCAGCAUCUGUGAAGAGACUCUGACUGUCUAAAAUGAAGGAUUCUGUAGCUUUAGGGGAAGACGGAGCCACAAGAUGGAAGGAGCUUGGAUCUCCGAACUAUUCCAUGGAGAAAAGCUGCAGUCAAUGAAGAACACGUGCAGUGGACUAUUAACCUGGGGGCGACGACAACCACUGAAAUAUGCUGCACCUUACUCCAGGGAAUUUAAAGUGUGGUUCCUGAAAGAGCUAUCUCAGAGUCAUCUGUGUUGAUGGUGUAACAUAAAGAUUUUUGGGCCUCAAGACUGAAGUAGGACAAGGAAUUUGAAUUUUUCAGCAGCUCACCUGACUUGUCUGUCCUCUAAUAUCUGAGAACACCUGACUUCUGCUCUUUCAGUAAAGGCGACAAUGGUUUUAUGAGCACUGUCGUCACAUCUCUCCUUCUCAUUUCCCCGAGACGAGGUCACCCACAGCUGCUGCUUCUAACUGCUGGCUUCCAGCCUGCUGCCUGCCAGCUGGCUCUACCCUCUCCUAUAACACAGCAGAGAGUAGCUGUGAUCUGCUGUGUGCUCACCCUCCGCUCCCUUGGGUCCAUGUUUUGGUCCUGCACUUAAAUUU